rnacentral:rRNA from 1 species
AGAGUUUGAUAUGGCUCAGAUUGAACGCUGGCGGCAGGCCUAACACAUGCAAGUCGAGCGGUAACAGGAAGUAGCUUGCUACUUCGCUGACGAGCGGCGGACGGGUGAGUAAUGCCUGGGAAUAUGCCUUGAUGUGGGGGAUAACUAUUGGAAACGAUAGCUAAUACCGCAUAAUGCCUACGGGCCAAAGAGGGGGAUCUUCGGACCUCUCGCGUCAAGAUUAGCCCAGGUGGGAUUAGCUAGUUGGUGGGGUAAAGGCUCACCAAGGCGACGAUCCCUAGCUGGUCUGAGAGGAUGAUCAGCCACACUGGAACUGAGACACGGUCCAGACUCCUACGGGAGGCAGCAGUGGGGAAUAUUGCACAAUGGGGGAAACCCUGAUGCAGCCAUGCCGCGUGUAUGAAGAAGGCCUUCGGGUUGUAAAGUACUUUCAGCAGUGAGGAAGGUGGUGAUGUUAAUAGCAUCAUCAUUUGACGUUAGCUGCAGAAGAAGCACCGGCUAACUCCGUGCCAGC